GGUAAAUAAUUUUUCAUAACACUCGAUAAUUCGCAGCAUUUUAUAGGCGUAGAAGUAAUAAUAUGAUGCGAUGAUUUAGAAACAAACCCGGAAUUCUUCGAAAACAAAAAUAACUCGCGUCUAUUUUAGGAUUUAAUGCGUAUAAAAAGGAAUUCUUUUCAUAUUAUAUUAUUUUUUAAUCGAUGGAGGAUUUUGUAUUUAU